GACGAACGCUGGCGGCGUGCCUAACACAUGCAAGUCGAACGAAGUAUGUUUUUCGGAAUAUACUUAGUGGCGGACGGGUGAGUAACGCGUGAACAAUCUGCCCUGUACAAAGGAAUAGCCUCGGGAAACCGGGAUUAAAAACCAUAUGACACUUGAGUAUCACAUGAUACAUAAGCCAAAUCGAAUAAGAGGUAUAGGAUGAGUUCGCGUCUGAUUAGCUAGUUGGUAGGGUAAAGGCCUACCAAGGCGACGAUCAGUAGCCGGCCUGAGAGGGUGAACGGCCACACUGGAACUGAGACACGGUCCAGACUCCUACGGGAGGCAGCAGUGGGGAAUAUUGCACAAUGGGGGAAACCCUGAUGCAGCGACGCCGCGUGAGUGAAGAAGGUCUUCGGAUCGUAAAACUCUGUCCUUGGUGAAGAAAAAAAUGACGGUAGCCAAAGGAGGAAGCCCCGGCUAACUACGUG
rnacentral:rRNA from 1 species